UUGUGAAGAAACAAAAAGAGAAAGCCACCGGGGGAAUGGAACAAGAGGGAGAGAGAAAGGAGAACCUGACUAACACACAACACUGGAAAAGAGAGCUGCAAGACAGCAACAGAGGAGAACUCAGGAAGACCAAGAAAGGUCUGGGAGCUGAGAAAUGGGUUUCUGGAGUGGAGCCAGAACUCAUGUAGAAAUGGAAGCAAAGAUGUGGCCGCUGUGGAUGAGUUUUCAAGGCAUGACCCAGGCCGAAGCCAGAGGAGGGAACGCUGGGAAUUUCCAAUGACUGUUGACUUGGAAUGAACAACAGAAGACAAGGAAAAGACCCAAAUGGCCGGAACCUCAGUUGGGUGGGGGAAGUGAUGGAGGAAACGUCAAGGCGGAUUAAACAAAAGAGUGAGUCACGUCUGCAGUCACUAUAUUGUGAAUAAUAUCUCAGGAAGAGGAACACCUACUCCCAGGACUUGAAAGCUGUUGUCAGGUGCAGCACGGGUGAACAGUUAUGUUCUGACACACUUGGUGCUGAAGCUGAAAGAGGUGGCAGUUUCAGGAUUGUCAGAAGCAGAGGUGAAAAACAAGGGGUUAGCUAUUCCAUUUCUUUGGUUAUAGUCCUGGGGGUCAAACUGAGGGCCUUGCACAUCCCAGGCAAAUGCUUCCUUAUGGAGCUAUAUCCCAGGGAUUUGUAUGUGUGUGUGUGCACACGCAUAGAGAUGAUGUAGACUUACGUGGAGGUCAGAGGACACUUGAUGGGAACUUGAUGAAACCAGUUCUCUCUUUCCACCAUGUGUGUUCUAGGGAUUGAACUUGGGUCUUCAGGCUUGGUGGCAAGCACCCUUACCCUGAGCUAUCUUGCCAGCUAGGUUUUUGUUUUUUGUUUUGUGAUAGGGUCUCUCACAGGCCUGGAGCUCACCUACUAGGCUAGGCUGGCUAGCCAAUGAGCCCUAGGCUGACCAGUGAUCUCUCCACCUCUCCAUCACUGGGAUUACAAACACACACCACUGUAUCCAGCUUUGUUACAUGGGUUUCUGUCCUUCUGUCACUUUACUGGCUGAGCCAUCUUCCCAGUCCCUACAUGGAACUUUUUACAAGAUGGGGUCUUAUUGUAUAGCCAGGCUAGCCACAAGCAAGAUCUUCCUGCCUGAGCAGGAAUGCCAAGUAUUGGGAUUGCACACUAGGCUACAGCCAUGCAUUUAUUGGGGAAGGAUGACUAGAUUUAGGGGGAAAUUCUAAUAGUCCAAUCCACUGCAGCAUAAACUAAAUGAACCCAACAGAAACCAGCAAAAGCACUCACUCUAAAUCAACUGUCUGCACAGAAUUUACUAUGUGGAGGAGUGGAGGUUUUAUUAUUGCUUGUGAAAUGUAUGCUACAUAGCUUUUAUGUUAGGAAACUUAUAAUAAAUUUAUAGACUUGUUCCUACACAUAACUUUUUUUUUUUUUCCUGGAAAGCUGGUUGAACAUUUACCAACAUGUAUCUGAAUGAUGGUGCCUAGAGACCUUGGGCCUUGGGGAAAGGGCUGUUCUCCUGUUUUCAUUGCUGAGGGGACAAAGGGCUAAUACAGUUUAAAAUCUGCAACCCCAUCAUAGACUAGACAAACACAAAAUGUGCUUUUCCUGCUAGUCCACAGAACUGACCUCUCCCUCCAAUUCCUGUAGCUCCUUCCACUUUCAUUCACGUAGCACUUAGAAAAAUGAAACCCUUGUGCUGAUUUUCAACAAGUAACAUUUCGUGCUAAUGUCCCAUCUUGACUUGGACAAGGGUCAGUCACACAUGCUUCCACUGAACCCUUUAAAGGUGCCUGCAUGGACACGUGCAUGCAUUUAUGUGUUUAUUCCCUUAGUCAGUUGCUCCCCUUCAUUAACAGAGUCUGAGUACCUGGGUACCAGGCACGGCUCCAACCAAGAUUCCUGGGCAACUUCUAGCAAUGAGGGCGAUGGUGCUGUGUGGCUUUGCUGAGGACUGAGUCCACGCCAGGUGCUGUGGUCCACUGCCUGCAAUAUUCAGACACACUACUGUCUAUGUGUACAUGGCUCCUGGCUCAGAGACUCCUCGUAUUGUACAGUUAUUUCCUUAGAGACUCGUUAAGACUUAGAAAGUUCUUAAGCUUUCCUGAGAAAGACUCGGGAAAAUUUCUGAGGGAGGCUUGUUAAGAUUCAGGAUGUAAACAAUUCAGAAACCUCAGGAAGUCCCUGAAAUGACCAGGUGCACCAGGCCCUUCCCUCCCCCAGAUUUCGUGAGCAAUAAGGUCGGCUGAGGACAGACCAGAUGAGCACCUGUCCUGCCGAGAUGCCUGCAGGUUGUGCAGAGAGCGCCACGGUUGUAGAUCUCCUGAGCUGCCACCCGUGC